UACGUAGGGUGCAAGCGUUGUCCGGAUUUAUUGGGCGUAAAGAGCGUGUAGGCGGUUAGGUAGGUCCGUUGUGAAAACUCGAGGCUCAACCUCGAGACGCCGAUGGAAACCAUCUAACUAGAGUCCGGAAGAGGAGAGUGGAAUUCCUGGUGUAGCGGUGAAAUGCGCAGAUAUCAGGAAGAACACCCGUGGCUAAGGCGGCUCUCUAGUACGGUACUGACGCUGAGACGCGAAAGCGUGGGGAGCGAACAGG
rnacentral:rRNA from 1 species